rnacentral:rRNA from 1 species
CAGCCGUAAACUAUGCUCGCUAGGUGUCAGGCAUGGCGCGACCGUGUCUGGUGCCGCAGGGAAGCCGUGAAGCGAGCCACCUGGGAAGUACGGCCGCAAGGCUGAAACUUAAAGGAAUUGGCGGGGGAGCACCACAACGGGUGGAGCCUGUGGUUUAAUUGGACUCAACGCCGGGAAGCUCACCGGAUAAGACAGCGGAAUGAUUGCCGGGCUGAAGACUCUGCAUGACUAGCUGAGAGGAGGUGCAUGGCGUAGACGUCU